UGGGGAAUUUUGGACCAUGGGGGCAACCCUGAUCCAGCCAUUCCGCGUGAGUGAAGAAGGCCUUCGGGUUGUAAAGCUCUUUUGUCCGGAACGAACCGGUUAGGUCUAAUACGCCUGACUACUGCCGGUACCGGACGAAUAAGCACCGGCUAACUACGUGCCAGCAGCCGCGGUAAUACGUAGGGUGCGAGCGUUAAUCGGAAUUACUGGGCGUAAAGCGUGCGCAGGCGGUUUUGUAAGCCAGAUGUGAAAUCCCCGGGCUUAACCUGGGAACUGCAUUUGGGACUGCAAGGCUUGAGUGCGGCAGAGGAGACUAGAAUUCCUGGUGUAGCAGUGAAAUGCGUAGAUAUCAGGAGGAAUACCGAUGGCGAAGGCAGGUCUCUGGGCUGACACUGACGCUCAUGCACGAAAGCGUGGGGAGCAAA
rnacentral:rRNA from 1 species